UACAGGGGGGGCAAGCGUUGUUCGGAAUUACUGGGCGUAAAGGGCUCGUAGGCGGCCAACUAAGUCCGACGUGAAAUCCCAAAGCUUAACUUUGGAACUGCGUCGGAUACUGGAUGGCUUGAGUUUGGGAGAGGGAUGCGGAAUUCCAGGUGUAGCGGUGAAAUGCGUAGAUAUCUGGAGGAACACCGGUGGCGAAGGCGGCAUCCUGGACCAACACUGACGCUGAGUGAGCGAAAGCCAGGGGAGCAAACGGG
rnacentral:rRNA from 1 species